UUUUCUUCUUAAAGGGGGAAAAUACAUGAGAUCUGCAGCAGUAUAAUGUAUUUUCUUUAUGAUUGAUGAUGUUACAGAUUGAUCAAAGCAUGAAACUGUACAUGAAUGGCAAGGUGAAUCAGGGUUCCACCUGUCUGGAGGCUUACUGGGAUCUGAUUGGCUGGUUCGUGAAAUGUGGGCGGGCUUGAACGGGGAUGAUUGGGAAGCGUGCAAUUGCAGAACAAGACUUCUAUAAGCAGACUGAUAACAGAUAUCUUGCUCAAUGCGUAUGUAAACUUUCAAACACCAUAGACACAUCAGCUUUUAGGCUAUAAUUCAUAUUCAUGAUUUUCCCCCAACCCCAACAUUUUCAUCAUUUUACUACCAUUUAAGUGUUUGCCAGCACUGGAGGAACAUUGCUUUUCAAAGAUGCGGUUCAUUUUAUUAUUGUGUGCACUUGUUAAAGCUUUCCAUGCAGACUUCUCGGAAAUAGGAUCUGGCGCUCCGGACUCAGAGGGGUUCGACACACAUCUGAAUCUCUUCACACAAAGAGUGGAUUUACUUGAGCAGCUGUCAGGCUUAGUACCAACCAGCAGGAACGUGACCUUUUAUGAGGACAACCGGGGAUGUCCAGUGCUGGACAUUGGCCUGUAUUCCACACUUACUAUGCCCACCCAGGAAGCAUUUGGAUCAAGCUUUGCAGAUGAAUUCAGUGUGCUGAUUCAGUUGCAGAGCUCACAGGAAGAGGACCGGAGUGUGUUGACUUUGCUGAAUUUCUAUAAUCACAUUUUACUCCAGAUCCGUAUAGGUCCACACAGCAUCACCUUCAUCACCACACAGCACCGUGACUAUGAGUUUUCAGUGUCAGGACUGUCUGACUCGCAGUGGCACUGGAUCUCGGUUGGGGUUGCAUUUGAAUGGCUGGCUGUCUAUGUGGACUGUGUGCUGGUGGAGAAAGUGAGCUGGAUGUACCCGUACAUGAGUAUCACUACAGAUGGCUUGCUGAUGGUGGGGGGAAUCCUGGAGGGAUUUGAGACACCUUUAGAGGUAUUUUUCAUUUGUUAUAUGCAAGGUUAUGGAAAGACACAUAACUAUAGUCAGUGUCAAGAAUCCAUCAUGCCUGCGCAACCAGCCUUUCUUAAAGUCAUUAAUUAAACACUAAAUAUGUCUUACUACAACAGAGUGUGUAGAAUAAUGUGUAUUAAAGAAACUAGAGCUAUCCUGUUAAAGUAGCACAAGCAAUGCGUCAUGGGAAACAUGUCUGGCUGCCACACUAGUUUGCUUUUCAGCUGUGAAAACCAUCAUCUCAAUGACUUAAACUUAAAAAUGAAUGGUCAC
rnacentral:lncRNA from 12 species